UACGUAGGGUGCGAGCGUUGUCCGGAAUUAUUGGGCGUAAAGAGCUUGUAGGCGGUUUGUCGCGUCUGCUGUGAAAAUCCGGGGCUCAACCCCGGACUUGCAGUGGGUACGGGCAGACUAGAGUGUGGUAGGGGAGACUGGAAUUCCUGGUGUGGCGGUGAAAUGCGCAGAUAUCAGGAGGAACACCGAUGGCGAAGGCAGGUCUCUGGGCCACUACUGACGCUGAGAAGCGAAAGCAUGGGGAGCUAACAGGAUUAGAUA
rnacentral:rRNA from 1 species